rnacentral:rRNA from 1 species
UACGAAGGGGGCUAGCGUUGCUCGGAAUCACUGGGCGUAAAGCGCACGUAGGCGGCUUUUUAAGUCAGGGGUGAAAUCCUGGAGCUCAACUCCAGAACUGCCUUUGAUACUGGGAAGCUCGAGUCCGGAAGAGGUGAGUGGAACUGCGAGUGUAGAGGUGAAAUUCGUAGAUAUUCGCAAGAACACCAGUGGCGAAGGCGGCCCACUGGUCCGGUACUGACGCUGAGGUGCGAAAGCGUGGGGAGCAAACAGG